rnacentral:lncRNA from 1 species
GAGCUCAAGAAACACUUCAAAAAGUAGGGGAAACAACGUGUUUAAUGACAUUAUUCCUCAAUAAACUUCUCCUAGACCCAACUUUUAUUUUCCUAAAUAAACAUGUGUUAAUGACAUUGUUCUAAAUAAACUUCUUCCUCUUUUUUUUUGGUGAUGGUCAAUUUGUGUGUGUGAUGUUUAUGUCGUAAUUUUAAUUUUUGUACUUAAUUGGUUUAUUUAACUUGCACAGCACCCAUUCUCCACCAUAAGUUCACUUUUCCUUGAAACUCUAAACCGACACAACAUCCCAAACGCCACCCUUCCAAAUUCCCUGUAAGUCUUUUUUUUCUAAGUCAAGAAGGCAUCUUCAUCCCACACGUCACCAAUCAAGAAGACUUUUUUUUUUUUUUUUUGAGUCAGAGUUCAUCUCAAACUAAAACUCUUGGCUAUCUUCUCACUAGGACAAAUCAUCAGCCAUGGAUGCACUGCCAAAUAGAGGUACACAAUCUUUUUUUCCUGUCAAUGGUUCAAUUACGAUCUUGGUCGCGAACUCACCUCGAUUCAAAAUAGUUGAACUAGUUUGUGGUUCGCUGGGUGGGGAGGGGAGGUAUUGAACUAGGCAACUCUGAUUAACAGCUUAACAAGUAAGGUGGAAAUGAAUUCUCUUUAAUUUUUUUAGUCUUUCUUGUCGCUCAAAAGUUAAAAUAUUUAAGAAUUUGCGAAAGAUAUGACAA